rnacentral:rRNA from 1 species
UGGGGAAUAUUGCACAAUGGGCGCAAGCCUGAUGCAGCCAUGCCGCGUGUAUGAAGAAGGCCUUCGGGUUGUAAAGUACUUUCAGCGGGGAGGAAGGUGUUGUGGUUAAUAACUACAGCAAUUGACGUUACCCGCAGAAGAAGCACCGGCUAACUCCGUGCCAGCAGCCGCGGUAAUACGGAGGGUGCAAGCGUUAAUCGGAAUUACUGGGCGUAAAGCGCACGCAGGCGGUCUGUCAAGUCGGAUGUGAAAUCCCCGGGCUCAACCUGGGAACUGCAUCCGAAACUGGCAGGCUUGAGUCUUGUAGAGGGGGGUAGAAUUCCAGGUGUAGCGGUGAAAUGCGUAGAGAUCUGGAGGAAUACCGGUGGCGAAGGCGGCCCCCUGGACAAAGACUGACGCUCAGGUGCGAAAGCGUGGGGAGCAAACA